rnacentral:rRNA from 1 species
UACGGGGGGGCAAGCGGUUGCUCGGAAUCACUGGGCGUAAAGCGCACGUAGGCGGAUCUUUAAGUCAGGGGUGAAAUCCUGGAGCUCAACUCCAGAACUGCCUUUGAUACUGGGGAUCUCGAGUCCGGGAGAGGUGAGUGGAACUCCGAGUGUAGAGGUGAAAUUCGUAGAUAUUCGGAAGAACACCAGUGGCGAAGGCGGCUCACUGGCCCGGUACUGACGCUGAGGUGCGAAAGCGUGGGGAGCAAACAGG